UNGCACAGUGCUGCUUUGUACCCUGGACC
rnacentral:piRNA from 1 species